UGGAAAUCAUAUCUACCCCUGCACCUGGGGUCUAGUUAGAGCUUAAUAAAUAUUCAUGGAACGCGUGAAAAUUGCGGGAGGGACUUUGUCUUGCCCUAAAGACGUGCCUGGCGGUGCGCUAGGGACACAAACAUGAGUUAGAUCUCUCCUUGAUUUUCAGUAGCUCCCAGGAUGUCUUGGUGCAGGAUGCAACCUAUACAACUGUACAUUAUCAUCACGGGAGAGCAGGCAACAGGCAUCGAUCAGCGCUGUCCAAAAGAGCUCUCCCCAAGGAUGAAAAUGUUCUCUGUCUGUGCCAUCCAACAGGGUAGCCAACCAGCUACUUGUGGCUACUUUGCAUUUGAGAUAUUCAGCUAGGGUAACGGAAACACUGAAUUAAAUAUAUAACAUA